rnacentral:rRNA from 1 species
UGGGGAAUUUUGGACAAUGGGGGAAACCCUGAUCCAGCCAUCCCGCGUGUGCGAUGAAGGCCUUCGGGUUGUAAAGCACUUUUGGCAGGAAAGAAACGUCGCGGGUUAAUACCCCGCGGAANUGACGGUACCUGCAGAAUAAGCACCGGCUAACUACGUGCCAGCAGCCGCGGUAAUACGUAGGGUGCAAGCGUUAAUCGGAAUUACUGGGCGUAAAGCGUGCGCAGGCGGUUCGGAAAGAAAGAUGUGAAAUCCCAGAGCUUAACUUUGGAACUGCAUUUUUAACUACCGGGCUAGAGUGUGUCAGAGGGAGGUGGAAUUCCGCGUGUAGCAGUGAAAUCGUAGAUAUGCGGAGGAACACCGAUGGCGAAGGCAGCCUCCUGGGAUAACACUGACGCUCAUGCACGAAAGGUGGGAGCAAACAGGAUUAGAUACCCUGGUAGUCCACGCCCUAAACGNUGUCAACUAGCUGUUGGGGUCUUCGGACCUUUGGGUGGCGCCUAGGCUAACGCGNGAAGUUGACCGCCUGGGGAGUACGGUC